rnacentral:lncRNA from 1 species
GAAAACUUAUGCGAUUCAUCACAUGAGGAUGUAGACUCUAGAGGAGCCCAAAGAAAGCAUUGCAAACAUGGAUGGUUGUAUUGUUGAUGCUCUUGAGUUAGACAUAACUGCCUUCGACAACAUUGCAGCAAGGACCACUGCUUAAAGCUUAUCGAGCACAUGUUUUGAGUCUUCAGGGACCAAAGAGGAAGUUGAAGAAGAAGAUAAAGACAAGGAUGAAGGCGAUGAACCGAAUGCGGAAAAGCUUUCAUCGUCAAAAGAUGUAGCAGAGAAUUCUCUCCAUCCUGACUUUGCAGAAG